GGAUUAUUGACUAUGCCCAAAAGAAAAUGAAUCUCAGGGUUGAAUGUGGUGACAUACAUGUACUUUGAACUUUGUCACAUUAAUGCCAAGCUUGAAUUUUACUGCUGGAUGACGAUGAGACCUAAGAGCAGAAUGACGUUGGGAAAUGUCGAGGAGCUUGACCCAAAAGCAGAACAGCAGAGAUGAUUUUAAUGGGAGCACAGGCCCAGAGACAUCAAACACUCCUGAUGAAAGCUCAUUGACCUAACAGGAACGCUCUACCUUUGGAUGGCGGGGGAAACCUGUAACAUACACCAAAUGCUGUAGGAACUCAGCAUAUCAGAUUAUGUAUUCCAUUGAACUGCUGCUGCUAAGUUAACAAAUUUCACAUCACAAGCCUUUUAUAAUAAACCUGAUUCUGAUUCUGAAAGGACUAGACAGAGUGGAUGUGGGAGGACGUUUCCAC